rfam:Gossypium hirsutum cultivar TM-1 chromosome 19, whole genome shotgun sequence
UAUUAAAAAUUUCAUCUAUCUCUAUUAUUAAAAAUUAAAGUGACUUAUGGAAUAACUAGACAAUUACAUUUUUUAUGCCAUGUAUACUUCAUGUUGACGUACAAUGAUUAAUUUUUGACAAUAGAAAUAAAUAGAAUUUAUAAUA